AAUGUAAAAGAUAGAGAAGGUUACCGCAAAUUCAACGAAGUAUCCUUCUUGUCUAUCUCUAGGCACACAGGUCCAGCUGUAGAAAGGCUUAUUAAACUUCUUUUUCAUAAUCUUGGUUAUCUUACGGGUCAAGCUGGACUUGUCAUAACCAAACCUACAACACAAGAGGAAAAAAACAGAGACUCUCAAUCAGCAAACUCAAACUCAAACAAGCAGUGAGAAGACACUAAACAGGCAGAGAGAAGACACUAGUAUAAUACUCACACAACAGACAGAAAGAAGAGAAACUCAAACAAAAGCGAAACAUAAUUAUAAUCUUCACAACAGAACCAAAAAAAAAAAAAAAAACUAAGGUUUUGAAACGAAAAGCUAAAACUCGGAAAUAAACUUAAACACACAAAACAUAUAAUUAGCUCAACUUCGUGACUCAAAAUUGUUUACUAGACUCAAACUCAAACAGCUAAAACUCAAACUCAAACUUAAACACACUAAAACUCUCAUGGAGACAAACUGAAACCUCACACAACAGACACAAAGUAGAGCAACCAUACCAUGUUGUACCAGGCUCGAGUUUGGGAGACAGGACCGUUGUGAACUCCUUUCGAACUCAGCAAAAUCUUCUGGGUCUCCAUGA
rnacentral:lncRNA from 1 species